UAGGGAAUCUUCGGCAAUGGACGACAGUCUGACCGAGCAACGCCGCGUGAGUGAAGACGGUUUUCGGCUCGUAAAACUCUGUUGUUAGAGAAGAACAAGGACGUUAGUAACUGAACGUCCCCUGACGGUAUCUCACCAGAAAGCCACGGCUAACUACGUGCCAGCAGCCGCGGUAUUACGUAGUUGGCAAGCGUUGUCCGGAUUUAUUGGGCGUAAAGCGAGCGCAGGCGGUUUCUUAAGUCUGAUGUGAAAGCCCCCGGCUCAACCGGGGAGGGUCAUUGGAAACUGGGAGACUUGAGUGCAGAAGAGGAGAGUGGAAUUCCAUGUGUAGCGGUGAAAUGCGUAGAUAUAUGGAGGAACACCAGUGGCGAAGGCGGCUCUCUGGUCUGUAACUGAAGCUGAGGCUCGAAAGCGUGGGGAGCAAACAGG
rnacentral:rRNA from 1 species